AUACGUAGGGUGCGAGCGUUGUCCGGAAUUACUGGGCGUAAAGAGCUCGUAGGUGGUUUGUCGCGUCGUCUGUGAAAUUCCGGGGCUCAACUCCGGGCGUGCAGGCGAUACGGGCAUAACUUGAGUACUGUAGGGGAGACUGGAAUUCCUGGUGUAGCGGUGAAAUGCGCAGAUAUCAGGAGGAACACCGGUGGCGAAGGCGGGUCUCUGGGCAGUAACUGACGCGGAGGAGCGAAAGCAUGGGUAGCGAACAGGAUUAGAUACCCUGGUAGCCCAUGCCGUAAACGGUGGGCGCUAGGUGUAGGGGUCUUCCACGACUUCUGUGCCGUAGCUAACGCAUUAAGCGCCCCGCCUGGGGAGUACGGCCGCAAGGCUAAAACUCAAAGGAAUUGACGGGG
rnacentral:rRNA from 1 species